rnacentral:rRNA from 1 species
AUUGAACGCUGGCGGCAUGCCUUACACAUGCAAGUCGAACGGCAGCACGGGGCAACCUGGUGGCGAGUGGCGAACGGGUGAGUAAUGCAUCGGAACGUACCUUUCAGUGGGGGAUAACGUAGCGAAAGUUACGCUAAUACCGCAUAUUCUGUGAGCAGGAAAGCAGGGGAUCGCAAGACCUUGCGCUGAUUGAGCGGCCGAUGUCAGAUUAGCUAGUUGGUGAGGUAAAGGCUCACCAAGGCGACGAUCUGUAGCGGGUCUGGGAGGAUGAUCCGCCACACUGGAACUGAGGCACGGUCCAGACUCCUACGGGAGGCAGCAGUGGGGAAUUUUGGACAAUGGGGGCAACCCUGAUCCAGCCAUGCCGCGUGAGUGAAGAAGGCCUUCGGGUUGUAAAGCUCUUUCGGCCGGGAAGAAAUCGCACGGGCUAAUACCCUGUGUGGAUGACGGUACCGGAAUAAGAAGCACCGGCUAACUACGUGCCAGCCGCCGCGGUAACAC